rnacentral:lncRNA from 1 species
UUGUCUAUGACAUAACUAAGCGGCCAACUUUUGAGAAUGUCCAAAGGUGGCUCCGUGAGUUGAGGGACCAUGCAGAUUCGAACAUUGUUAUCAUGAUGACAGGAAACAAGUCUGACUUGAUCAAUCUCCGAGCUGUUUCAGAGGAUGAUGGUCAGUCCUUGGCUGAGAGGGAGGGUCUCUCAUUUCUCGAGACAUCAGCACUGGAAGCAACCAACGUUGAGAAGGCAUUUCAAACUAUUCUAACCGAGAUCUACCAUAUUGUCAGCAAGAAAGCACUGGCAGCUCAAGAAGCAGUCUCAACUACCCUACCUGGUCAAGGAACCACCAUCAACGUUGGUGACGCUUCUGGGAAUACGAACAAGAGAGGUUGCUGCUCGACAUAAAAGAUGACACACACCUAGGGGGAAGGAGGGGAAACAUUUUGCUGGAUGCCAGCUCUUUUGAUUUUUCUCUUUUUAGUUUCUUUUUUUUGGGUGACAGGG